rnacentral:lncRNA from 1 species
AGAUGAACAGCCAAAGUGUGGAAAAGGGGAAGCUAUGGUGUCUCAUACACCUGCUUUUCUUCAUCCAAUCUCAUUUGGAAACAAAAAUUCUCUCUUUUCAGUCCAGUACAUAUCAACAAGUAGGAGCAGGAGACUGAUUUGAUGACUGAAACUAAAUUUGGGGGCAAUGAUUCUCACACAACUGACAUGAGAGUAGCUCUUUCCUUCAGAUGCUGAUUUUCUAUGUCAUGGUGAUGUCCCAUGGUGCCCAUGAAGCCUGGCUCCCCACUGCUCAAUCCUUUCAUAAACAGAGAAGAAGAAACAGUCUCAAUGCCAAAGAGCUUGCUUUAAGCAAGUCUACUGAGGGAGAUAUUUUUCCCAUAAUGAGCACGUGUGUCUUUGUGCUGCUCAGUUUAUACUUGCAGGCACUGGCUGUGAAAGUCCCUGUCUGUCCCCAUCAUUGGAGGGCUAGGUUUCUUUCGAUGAGCCAUGCACCUCUGCACUUUUUGGUAAUCUGCAGCACUGGGCAGUGGGUGAGCAUUAAUAACACCUUGGUCUGUGAGUUCCCUAUUGGCAAGGUGGGAGGGGUACCCUCUAUAACCCAUAGCAAAUGCAGCAAGUGUGGAGGUUUUUGUAUCUAUCAUGAAAGAGGUUUGAAGGUUACCUCUGUCAUAUCUAGCAAAUCACUCACAAUCUACUUCAAUUAUCACCGCAAUGCACAGCUGAGAGUUACUUUAUCUUGCAGGGAAGAAAAUGGGUACAGAGGACCAAUAGAAAUGAAUAAUCAUGAUUUUCACAAAUGCAAAACAUAAAGCAGAAUAGAAAAUGAUAAUUUGCUAGUCACUUUAGAAGAUUUGAGUUAUAAAGCAGUGCAGGCAGGUAUUUUUUCUACUAUGACUUUCCCUCCUCCCAAAAAUUAUCAAGAGACAGAUUAAAGGUGAUCCAGUACUCACUAGUUCAUUCUCCUUCUUUGCAUUUGAGUAUAAAAUCAGAUUUUUGGGUUUUACCUCUAGGUGCUGACAGAUGCAGAAGAAAGACAUCCUGUCUCUGUUGUCACACCCUUCACCAUUGCCUCCUAUCAUAGCUUCAGAGAAUUCAAGAUCUGGAUAACUGAAAGAUAUGAUGCAGAGUUGGGAGCAAGAGGCCUCCUUAACUGGCAGAUGCAAUCUCCCUUUUUGUAAAAAUAAGCUCAUUAAGCUAUAGUGAUCUUUGCUGCACUGUAUUGUAGCUGCUAAAUGUUUACUUUGGAGUGAGAGAGACUGGGAAAAUUGCAUAAAGAUCCCGGGUGGGGAUUACUAAAUGUGUGGAGUACACCUCUAGCACAUGUUGAGCCACAAAUGCUUGAAGGUUGGAAAUGAUAUUUUUGAGAAUUUUAAUUAAUGUAUGCUGACUCUGUUCUUGGACUUUUCCCUAGUCAUGCAUACCACUUUGAAAGGCAGGAGACUGAAGGCGUAGGAAGAAAAUUCUAAAUUUUUUUUUCACAGCUUUUCUAAUCCAAAACCACAAAUCCUUUAUACCCACAGAGAUGGUUCUCAGGAGCUUACAGCUGUGAUUGGGGACGCUGCCCUCUCAGCAAUGAAAACGAGUUAAUUGUAUCAAAGAAGGUGAGGUCAAUUAACAUAGCUCCCAGUACAUGGGUACUUGAGAUGGUGCUGUAGAGUUUUCGUGAAAAUGAGGCUUUGGUCUAUAUUGAUUUACAUAACCAUGUUCCAAACUAUGAUGAAAUAAGUCUGGGUUUAAACCCAGGGAGGCGGCUCCACCUCUGGUCCAGUACCUCUGUCCCCAAAGAGCUCUCUUUGUAUGGGCUGCCUG